rnacentral:lncRNA from 1 species
GCAAAACAUUAAAAACUUGAGAUGAAAGCAUGCCAUUCUAAAACAUAUUUGGCUCAAAGAAAAAGAUGCUUCCCAGGACUACAAAAGACCUUUCUUUAAUGAAACUUUAAUUAAACUUUGCUUUAAUUUGGAUCACAACGAAGAAAAUAAGGACUUUUCAUCUUGCCCCAUGUGGAAAGUAUCAGUGUCUCCUAUGAAUAAAAU